rnacentral:lncRNA from 1 species
GUUUGAUUGAAUACGUUGUGCGGGCCUUACGCGUCCCCAAUGAAGCGUUCGCAAUGAAUAGUAGCAAUGGUAAAUGAAUGUCAUGAAGAUGAAAUCAGGACAAAUGGAAGUGAGAAAAGAAAAGUAACGCUGGGCGUGAACGGUGGUCUAAGGCAGAAAAGUCACUAGUAUGUGAUUAUUUUAAGGAUCAUAUUCAGAAGAAAAUUGCGUCCAAAACAGGCGAGUGUGCAGAAUGGAUCCCUAAAUAUAAGGACUUUCCAAAGAAUAAAGACUGGCUGAAAAUAAAGACUUAUGUCUAAUACUAAAGUGUAUAAUACUUUUAGAGCAAAAUGACCCAUUUUACCAUUUUUCAUUUUAAAUUAGAAAUGUUUAUUAGUUUAACCGAAUGCAUUUUUCUUUAAUAGUUAUGUAAUAAGAUAUUUUACUUUUUCUUUAGUUUAUUUCUAUUUUUACACACAUGUUUGUUCUACCGAAUAUAACCUUUUUUUUUAAUAAGAUGUGUUAAAUUAAUAAACCAUUUUAUCACA